AUCCUGUGGUGAUGUCCGAAGGUUGGACCUGUGUGGUAGAUCGUUGCCUCUACAGACAAGGAAACUGAGUCCCAAGUCAACCUUGCUGUGAGUCAGAGCUAGUAUGUUUGUGAGGAGGGGGUUGUUCACAACUGGAUGCAGUGCCCUCAGGGACCAGAAGAGGACAUCAGCUCCUCCCAGAGGGGGCAUUACAGGUGGUUGUGAUCUGCCACGUGGGUUCUGGGAACAGCACUCUGGUCUUCUGCCAGAACACUGUGUGCUCCUAACCAGCUAUCUGUCCAGUCUCAACAGUUCUAUUUAGACCAUUGAAGGUGUGAUGCCUUCAUCCCAGCAAGGGAGAGACUGAAGCAGGAGAUGUCAGGGCAGCGCAUGAAGAAGAUGGUGUCGAUGGGGAUGCUCUUGGAACUAUUGGUGCU